CCUGUAACGGCACCGAAAGGGAUUGAAGAUCUUCCUUUUGGAAGUCUUGGGACAGAGCUUUUCCUCGAGCGGCUGCACCUCUCCAGCCUCUCGUGAAGUGAGUUGGUAGAGGGGAAAAAAAGAAACCAACCCCACAAGAGAGCAACGCAAACGCGGGAAGGCUACCGCGGGAGCCGAGCUACUUCCUAAGUUCUUUGUCUCCUGCUCCCAACAGCCCUGGAAGUGCCUUAGCCAGAUGACUCCACUUUGCUCAACAUUCCCAUCUUGCCUUUGCUGUGUGUGACAAUGACAGAGGAGUGAAGCUGUUGCAACCUACGACCCAGCAGAGGAGGAAGGAGCAGUUCUGGACAAGGAAAUGUGUGGCCAGGGAGUCUCCCUGCAGCAAGGAACUGCUGUCAGAGUUGAGCAGAGCACUAUCAU